AAAUCAACGCUGGCGGCGUGCCUCAGACAUGCAAGUCGAACGAUUAAAGCUCUCUUCGGAGAGGUGUAUAGAGUGGACGCAACGGGUGAGUAACGACGUAAGUAAUCUACCCUCGAGUGGGGAAUAACAACCGGAAACGGUUGCUAAUACCGCAUAAUAGCAGCGGCACCGCAAGGUGACAGUUGUUAAAGAUUUAUCGCUUGAGGAGGAGCUUGCGGCAGAUUAGCUAGUUGGUAGGGUAACGGCUUACCAAGGCUACGAUCUGUAACCGGUCUAAGAGGACGGUCGGUCACACUGACACUGAAUAACGGGUCAGACUCCUACGGGAGGCAGCAGUCGGGAAUUUUGGGCAAUGGGCGAAAGCCUGACCCAGCAACGCCGCGUGAAGGAUGAAGUAUUUCGGUAUGUAAACUUCGAAAGAAUAGGAAGAAUUAAUGACGGUACUAUUUA
rnacentral:rRNA from 1 species